UGUGUCCUACGGGGGGCAGCAGUGGGGAAUAUUGCACAAUGGGGGAAACCCUGAUGCAGCGACGCCGCGUGAAGGAAGAAGUAUUUCGGUAUGUAAACUUCUAUCAGCAGGGAAGAAAAUGACGGUACCUGACUAAGAAGCCCCGGCUAACUACGUGCCAGCAGCCGCGGUAAUACGUAGGGGGCCAGCGUUAUCUGGAUUUACUGGGUGUAAAGGGAGCGUAGGCGGUGCAGCAAGUCAGAAGUGAAAGCCCGGGGCUCAACUCCGGGACUGCUUUUGAAACUGUUGAACU
rnacentral:rRNA from 1 species